UUGAACGCUGGCGGCCUGCCUUACCCCUGCCAGUCGCACGGUAACGGGCCUUCGGGUGCCGGCGAGUGGCGAACGGGUGAGUAAUACAUCGGAACGUGCCCGAUCGUGGGGGAUAACGAGGCGAACGCUUUGCUAAUACCGCAUACGAUCUACGGAUGAAAGCAGGGGACCGCCAUGCCUUGCGCGGACGGCGCGGCCGAUGGCAGGUUAGUUAGUUGGUGGGUUAAAAGCUUACCAAGCCGCCGACCUGGAGCUGGUCUGAGAGGAUGAUCCGCCACACUGGGGCUGGGACAGGGCCAAGAGUCCUACGGGAGGCAGCAGUGGGGAAUGUGGGACAAUGGGCGCAAGCCUGAUCCAGCGAUGCCGCGUGUAGGAUGAAGGCCUUCGGGUUGUAAACUGCUUUUGUACGGAGCGAAAAGCUUUCUUUUAAUACGGGAGGGUCAUGACGGUACCGGAAGAAUAAGCACCGGCUAACUACGUG
rnacentral:rRNA from 1 species